UACGUAGGUGGCAAGCGUUGUCCGGAUUUAUUGGGUUUAAAGGGUGCGUAGGCGGCCCUGUAAGUCAGUGCUGAAAUACCCCGGCUUAACCGGGGGGGGUGGCAUUGAUACUGCAGGGCUUGAGUACAGAUGAGGUAGGCGGAAUUGACGGUGUAGCGGUGAAAUGCAUAGAUAUCGUCAAGAACACCGAUAGCGAAGGCAGCUUACUGGGCUGUAACUGACGCUGAUGCACGAAAGUGUGGGGGAUCAAACAGG
rnacentral:rRNA from 1 species